UGGGGGAGUAACGUAGGGAAACUUAACGCUAAUACCGCAUACGACCUACGGGUGAAGCAGGGAUCUUCGGACCUUGCGCGAUUGAAUGAGCCGAUGUCGGAUUAGCUAGUUGGCGGGGUAAAGGCCCACCAAGGCGACGAUCCGUAGCUGGUCUGAGAGGAUGAUCAGCCACACUGGAACUGAGACACGGUCCAGACUCCUACGGGAGGCAGCAGCC
rnacentral:rRNA from 1 species